UGUCUUUGAGGGGUAUCUUAGAACUAUACUAAAAUUAAUAUUUUAUUUUAUUUAUUUCUAAGAAAGGAAGGAAGGAAGAUCUGAAGUUUAUGGAUACUGCAAGGAGCUACAGAGUUCAAAAACACGAGUGCUUGCUUUGAGCAAGUAUGUGUAGUUAUGAAAGGAGCAACGGGAGGUACUUCUGGAGUUAGAGAAUUGGCCAUCUGCAAGGACGUUGCCCAGGGGACACCCGGAUGUUUUGAUGUUUUACCAUCUUUGUGGGAAGCUUCUCUCAUGUCCCUGCAUGGAGCUGGAGCUGAUAGAGGGAGCUCAUCUGCGCUCUCCCCGGGUGGGAUUCGAACCUGGCAGCUUUCAGGUCAGCAACCCAACCUUGAAGUCACAAGGCUUUUAUCCCCUAGGCCACUGGAGGCUCCAACAUGUUAUCACUAAUACAAAUUCAGGAACUGGUUCUCUUCUGUAUCUCUUCUGCUUCUCAACAUCUAAUAUGAAUUGAACAGUCUCUGAUGGCUCCUCGUGGUUUGUGUUUUGCCACCUCUCUUGCUCCAUUACUAGAAAAAUAAAGAGUCCAAUGACAUCAUGGGUCGACUCCAUCUCUACAUUUCAUAUAAUGUCUAUUUUGUCCCCUUAGGUCAUACUGCUGGGUGCCGCUGGCUUUAUUAUGAAACUCAAUCACCCAUGCAUUCAUAACCUUCAGUGGCUCUCAUUCAUAAGUUGGCACCACGGUGCGAUAACACUCCUGAGCAGAGGUUGGUUGUAUUAAGGGAAACCGGCCAUCAAGAUUUUCGUUGCGGAAAAUGCCAAGCGAAGGUUGUUAUUAUGAAGCCAUGAUUUCAUUUUACCUCUGCCCAGAGCCGUUAUUUUUAACUGGUCCAUUGCACACCAUACCUUUGAUUUAAAAAACGCAUUAUUAUUUUUCUCCUUUUCCUUUUUCUCAAAAUUGGCCCUGUAAACAUUGCUUUCCUAAUGGAAAAGUAGAAUUGGUCAGCCAGGCCAAGCUGCAGAGGUUAUUGCUAUUAAAUGGCUAAUUCUUGCCCACUAGACUAAUAAUUUAACCAUGCUAAUAAUAUCAGCCAGUGCCUAUGUCAAAUCCAUUGUUACACAAUGUGACCAAAUCCAUUACCACACACAUGGAAAUCAAUUACCGCACAUUAGGGAGCGCUUAACAAUUUACCGCAGCCUUUGCCGCAGAGCAUUGUGUGCAUGGGGAGGAGGGAUGAAUCAUUAUCUGCCAUGCUGGAAAUAGAUCCCCCUCCUUCUCCUGUAACAAAAGCACACAGGUGCAUAGCAUAGCACAUGCAGACUGGUAAUGGCUUGAUGUAGGUAAACAAGGCAUUUUAGGUGUUGGAAAUAUACUGUUUACAAGAAAGCAGCAUACCGAAGGUGGGAGAAAGAUGCAUUGCUAUUGAGAAAAAUUGCUCCUUUUGUUGGGCUAUAAAUAUGUUCUCUCUCCUUCAGUAACAAUAAAAAGGAAGGGAGGUGGGGAAAGGGGGGAAAACUAAGCUAUCAUGCACACUUAAGGAAGCUGCAUUUAACAUGCGUUUGAUGGAGAAUGCAUACAUACCGCUAUCAAGUGACAAUAUUGUUAAUGUCUUGUUGUGCUUACACAUUUCAGAGGAAUAUCACACUUUCUGACAUUUAACAGAUGGCAACUAGGACAUAUACAGCCAGGUGACAUCAGAGUGGU
ensembl:lncRNA